rnacentral:tRNA from 1 species
GGAGGCGUGGAUGAGUGGUUUAAAUCAACGGUUUACUAAACCGUCGUUCCUUAAUCGGAACCGUGAGUUCGAAUCUCACCGCCUCCGCCA